rnacentral:sRNA from 1 species
AGGCUCUUGCAGCCAAUGCCGGAACAGGAUUUGCUGUUGCUGAGCCUCAAAUCGCAAUGUUUUGUGGGAAGUUAAAUAUGCAUGUGAACAUUCAGACUGGGAAAUGGGAACCUGAUCCAACAGGCAAACCAGCGGGUUAGUAUUGACAACUGGUGCCGGAGGGACAAAAAGCAAUGCAAGAGUCGCUUUGUUACACCUUUCAAGUGUCUCGUGGGUGAAUUUGUAAGUGAUGUCCUGCUAGUUCCAGAAAAGUGCCUGUUUUUCCACAAAGAGCGGAUGGAGGUGUGCGAGAAUCACCAGCACUGGCACAUGGUAGUCAAAGA